AGUUGAACGCUUGAUUUUCACCGAAGCUUGCUUCACCGAAAAUCAAGAGUAGCGAACGGGUGAGUAACGCGUGGGUAACCUACCUAUCAGCGGGGGAUAACUAUUGGAAACGAUAGCUAAUACCGCAUAACAAUGUUGGAUGCAUAUUCGACAUUUGAAAGUACCAACUGGUACACUGAGAGAUGGACCCGCGUUGUAUUAGCUAGUUGGUAGUGUAAUGGACUACCAAGGCGAUGAUACAUAGCCGACCUGAGAGGGUGAUCGGCCACAUUGGGACUGAGACACGGCCCAAACUCCUACGGGAGGCAGCAGUAGGGAAUCUUCGGCAAUGGACGAAAGUCUGACCGAGCAACGCCGCGUGAGUGAAGAAGGUUUUCGGAUCGUAAAACUCUGUUGUUAGAGAAGAACGUUGCAUAGAGUGGAAAAUUAUGCAAGUGACGGUAUCUAACCAGAAAGGGACGGCUAACUACGUGCCAGCAGCCGCGGUAAU
rnacentral:rRNA from 1 species